rnacentral:rRNA from 1 species
CAAUAGCGUAUAUUAAUGUUGUUGCAGUUAAAAAGCUCGUAGUUGGAUUUCUGGUGGAAGCGACCGGUCCGCCCCUCACGGGGUGUGCACUAGCGUCUGUCUUUUGCCAUCCUUGCGAAGAAGCGGUGUGGCAUUAAGUUGUCGCGCCGUCUGACUCGCAUCGUUUACUGUGAAAAAAUUAGAGUGUUUAAAGCAGGCAAUUGCUGUGAAUACAUUAGCAUGGAAUAAUAAGAUAGGACUUUGGUACUAUUUUGUUGGUUUGCAUAUCAAAGUAAUGAUUAACAGGGACAGUUGGGGGUAUUCGUAUUUCGUUGUCAGAGGUGAAAUUCUUGGAUUUAUGAAAGACGAACUACUGCGAAAGCAUUUACCAAGGAUGUUUUCAUUAA